rnacentral:rRNA from 1 species
GUCUACGGCCAUGCUCCCCUGAACAAGCCUAAUCCCAUCUGAUCUUGUCUGAUCUUGGAAGCUAAGCAGGGUCGGGCCUGGUUAGUACUUGGAUGGGAGAUCACCUAGGAAGACCAGGUGCUGUAGGCG